UGAAUACGAGACGCUAAGGCGUCGAAGUAGUGUAUGUCAUACUUCCAAGAAAAGCUUGCACUGUCAUAGAUAAAAAACGCCUGUACCAUAACCGACACAGGUGGGUAGGUAGAGUAUACUAAGGGGCGCGAGAUAACUCUCUCUAAGGAACUCGGCAAAAUAACUCUGUAACUUCGGGAGAAGGAGUGCCUUAUUAUUAAGGCUGCAAUAACAAGAUCCAAGCAACUGUUUAUCAAAAACACAGGUCUCCGCUAAGUCGUAAGACGAUGUAUGGGGGCUGACGCCUGCCCAGUGCCAGAAGGUUAAAGAAGUUGGUUAGCAUUUGCGAAGCUGAUAACUGAAGCCCUGGUGAACGGCGGCCGUAACUAUAACGGUCCUAAGGUAGCGAAAUUCCUUGUCGGGUAAGUUCCGACCCGCACGAAAGGCGUAAUGAUUUGGAUACUGUCUCGGAGAGGGGCUCGGUGAAAUAGACUUGUCUGUGAAGAUGCGGACUACCUGCACCAGGACAGAAAGACCCUAUGAAGCUUUACUGUAACUUGAAAUUGAAAUUGGACUUUAUUCGCGCAGCAUAGGUGGGAGGCGUUGAUUAUAAUCUUGUGGGAUUAUUGGAGCCAUCAGUGAGAUACCACUCUUGUAAUGUUAGAUUUCUAACUUUGAAUCAUUAUCUGGUCAAAGAACAGUUUCAGGCGGGCAGUUUGACUGGGGCGGUCGCCUCCUAAACGGUAACGGAGGCGUACAAAGGUUUCCUCUGAACGGUUAGAAAUCGUAUCUAGAGUGUAAAGGCAUAAGGAAGCUUGACUGUGAGACCUACAAGUCGAGCAGGGACGAAAGUCGGUCUUAGUGAUCUGACGGUACUGAGUGGAAAGGCCGUCACUCAACGGAUAAAAGUUACUCUAGGAUAACAGGCUGAUCUCCCCCAAGAGUUCACAUCGACGGGGAGAUUUGGCACCUCGAUGUCGGCUCAUCGCAUCCUGGGGCGGUAGUACGUCCCAAGGGUUGGGCUGUUCGCCCAUGAAAGCGGUACGCGAGCUGGGUUCAGAACGUCGUGAGACAGUUCGGUCCAUAUCCGGUGUAGGCGUUAGAAUAUUGAGAGGAGCCUUCUUUAGUACGAGAGGACCGAGAAGGACAUACCUCUGGUGUACCAGUUAUCGUGCCAACGGUAAACGCUGGGUAGCUAUGUAUGGAGUGGAUAACCGCUGAAAGCAUCUAAGUGGGAAGCCCACCUCAAGAUAAGUAUUCUCC
rnacentral:rRNA from 1 species